UAUGAGAGUUUGAUCCUGGCUCAGGACGAACGCUGGCGGCGUGCCUAAUACAUGCAAGUCGAACGCUUCUUUCCUCCCGAGUGCUUGCACUCAAUUGGAAAGAGGAGUGGCGGACGGGUGAGUAACACGUGGGUAACCUACCCAUCAGAGGGGGAUAACACUUGGAAACAGGUGCUAAUACCGCAUAACAGUUUAUGCCGCAUGGCAUAAGAGUGAAAGGCGCUUUCGGGUGUCGCUGAUGGAUGGACCCGCGGUGCAUUAGCUAGUUGGUGAGGUAACGGCUCACCAAGGCCACGAUGCAUAGCCGACCUGAGAGGGUGAUCGGCCACACUGGGACUGAGACACGGCCCAGACUCCUACGGGAGGCAGCAGUAGGGAAUCUUCGGCAAUGGACGAAAGUCUGACCGAGCAACGCCGCGUGAGUGAAGAAGGUUUUCGGAUCGUAAAACUCUGUUGUUAGAGAAGAACAAGGACGUUAGUAACUGAACGUCCCCUGACGGUAUCUAACCAGAAAGCCACGGCUAACUACGUGCCAGCAGCCGCGGUAAUACGUAGGUGGCAAGCGUUGUCCGGAUUUAUUGGGCGUAAAGCGAGCGCAGGCGGUUUCUUAAGUCUGAUGUGAAAGCCCCCGGCUCAACCGGGGAGGGUCAUUGGAAACUGGGAGACUUGAGUGCAGAAGAGGAGAGUGGAAUUCCAUGUGUAGCGGUGAAAUGCGUAGAUAUAUGGAGGAACACCAGUGGCGAAGGCGG
rnacentral:rRNA from 1 species